rnacentral:hammerhead_ribozyme from 1 species
AUCCAACCAACGAGUCCCAAAUAGGACGAAAGGCGCAUCCUGAAU